UGCUGAGCUCUGCUGAAUCCCUCAGGCUGGAUAUGUUUUCAGCGCUGGGCAAGCUCUCAUCGCUUGUGCGUUGGGCGGGCUCAACACUGGUGGUUGGGGAUGCCUCUUUGCACUGCUGUGAAGAGUUAGCAGAUACAAGACCGCGUGAAUGUAGUGGUCGAAGUGAUGUGAUAGAUCGAGCAGCCUGCCAUCUGGGCAAGCAUGUCGAACGUGUGAGAUCUGCAGAGACAGUCAUGCUCUACAAUGCAAGGCCCACGUAAGGGGAGUUUGCUUCGUGUUCACAUCAGCUGUGCACGAU
rnacentral:lncRNA from 1 species